rnacentral:rRNA from 1 species
UUCCUACGGGAGGCAGCAGUGGGGAAUUUUCCGCAAUGGGCGAAAGCAUGACGGAGCAAUACCGCGUGAGGGAAGACUGCCUAUGGGUUGUAAACCUCUUUUUUCAGGGAGGAAUCAAUGACGUGUACCUGAAGAAUAAGCAUCGGCUAACUCCGUGCCAGCAGCCGCGGUAAGACGGAGGAUGCAAGUGUUAUCCGGAAUCACUGGGCGUAAAGCGUCUGUAGGUGGUUUAAUAAGUCAACUGUUAAAUCUUGAGGCUCAACUUCAAAAUCGCAGUCGAAACUAUUAGGCUAGAGUAUAGUAGAGGUAAAGGGAAUUUCCAGUGGAGCGGUGAAAUGCGUAGAUAUUGGAAAGAACACCGAUGGCGAGAGCACUUUACUGGGCUAUUACUAACACUCAGAGACGAAAGCUAGGGUAGCAAAUGGGAUUAGAUACCCCAGUAGUCCUAGCCGUAAACAAUGGAUACUAGAUGUUGAACAGAUCGACCUGUGCAGUAUCAAAGCUAACGCGUUAAGUAUCCCGCCUGGGAAGUAUGCUCGCAAGAGUGAAACUUAAAGGAAUUGACGGAAU